AUUGAACGCUGGCGGCAUGCCUUACACAUGCAAGUCGAACGGCAGCACGGGGCAACCUGGUGGCGAGUGGCGAACGGGUGAGUAAUGCAUCGGAACGUACCUUUCAGUGGGGGAUAACGUAGCGAAAGUUACGCUAAUACCGCAUAUUCUGUGAGCAGGAAAGCAGGGGAUCGCAAGACCUUGCGCUGAUUGAGCGGCCGAUAUCAGAUUAGCUAGUUGGUGAGGUAAAGGCUCACCAAGGCGACGAUCUGUAGCGGGUUUGAGAGGAUGAUCCGCCGCACUGGAACUGAGACACGGUCCAGACUCCUACGGGAGGCAGCAGUGGGGAAUUUUGGACAGUGGGGGCAACCCUGAUCCAGCCAUGCCGCGUGAGUGAAGAAGGCCUUCGGGUUGUAAAGCUCUUUCGGCCGGGAAGAAAUCGCACGGGCUAAUACCCUGUGUGGAUGACGGUACCGGAAUAAGAAGCACCGGCUAACUACGUGCCAGCAGCCGCCGUAACAC
rnacentral:rRNA from 1 species